CUGAACACUUGUGUUAAACAAAUGAAAAAAUUCACUUUGCAUGUGUUGGGGAAAUAUUACAGGAAUAUUUAUAAUGAACUUGGAGCUGUUAUAACAGUUAGGGUGUAUUGUAACAUUUGUGGAAUUCUUGAAAGAAUCUGUUUGAGAUGUCUGGCCAACACUGUUUAAAAUCUUUAAAGGUUAUGCUGCCAUCUCAAAGGAGGGCUUUGUUCCUUGAUCCUCUGGGAAAAAGUUCUGCAAAACAGAAACGAUGCCAGGAUAUAACAAGGUGGUCCUGUGAUACGCUGCCUCACCCAAAACAAGAUGGCACAUCCUGCGGUGUCUUUGCUUUGAAAUUUGCUGAAUUUGUAUUUAGAGAGGAGCCAAUUAUUUUCCUUAACACACCAGAAGGAGUGGAAGAACUGAGGAAAGCAAUAGCUGUGACUCUUCUCCAAAACAGCGGUACAUGUAAUGUAC